UGCAAGUCGAGCGGACAGAUGGGAGCUUGCUCCCUGAUGUUAGCGGCGGACGGGUGAGUAACACGUGGGUAACCUGCCUGUAAGACUGGGAUAACUCCGGGAAACCGGGGCUAAUACCGGAUGCUUGAUUGAACCGCAUGGUUCAAUUAUAAAAGGUGGCUUUUAGCUACCACUUACAGAUGGACCCGCGGCGCAUUAGCUAGUUGGUGAGGUAACGGCUCACCAAGGCAACGAUGCGUAGCCGACCUGAGAGGGUGAUCGGCCACACUGGGACUGAGACACGGCCCAGACUCCUACGGGAGGCAGCAGUAGGGAAUCUUCCGCAAUGGACGAAAGUCUGACGGAGCAACGCCGCGUGAGUGAUGAAGGUUUUCGGAUCGUAAAACUCUGUUGUUAGGGAAGAACAAGUACCGUUCGAAUAGGGCGGUACCUUGACGGUACCUAACCAGAAAGCCACGGCUAACUACGUGCCAGCAGCCGCGGUAAUACGUAGGUGGCAAGCGUUGUCCGGAAUUAUUGGGCGUAAAGCGCGCGCAGGCGGUUUCUUAAGUCUGAUGUGAAAGCCCCCGGCUCAACCGGGGAGGGUCAUUGGAAACUGGGGAACUUGAGUGCAGAAGAGGAGAGUGGAAUUCCACGUGUAGCGGUGAAAUGCGUAGAGAUGUGGAGGAACACCAGUGGCGAAGGCGACUCUCUGGUCUGUAACUGACGCUGAGGCGCGAAAGCGUGGGGAGCGAACAGGAUUAGAUACCCUGGUAGUCCACGCCGUAAACGAUGAGUGCUAAGUGUUAGAGGGUUUCCGCCCUUUAGUGCUGCAGCAAACGCAUUAAGCACUCCGCCUGGGGAGUACGGUCGCAAGACUGAAACUCAAAGGAAUUGACGGGGGCCCGCACAAGCGG
rnacentral:rRNA from 1 species